rnacentral:rRNA from 1 species
UACGGGGGGGGCAAGCGUUGUUCGGAAUUACUGGGCGUAAAGGGCUCGUAGGUGGCCAACUAGGUCAGACGUGAAAUCCCUCGGCUUAACCGGGGAACUGCGUCUGAUACUGGAUGGCUUGAGUUCGGGAGAGGGAUGCGGAAUUCCAGGUGUAGCGGUGAAAUGCGUAGAUAUCUGGAGGAACACCGGUGGCGAAGGCGGCAUCCUGGACCGGCACUGACGCUGAGGAGCGAAAGCGUGGGGAGCGAACAGG